rnacentral:tRNA from 1 species
GUUCAGGUAGCUCAGCUGGUUAGAGCAAAGGACUGAAAAUCCUUGUGUCAUGUGGUUCGAAUCCACUUCUAAGCG